rnacentral:sRNA from 1 species
AGAUUCCCCGCACAGGGAGGGGCGAGAACCCUCGACAGGGUUCGACAAAAUGGCCUGCCAUUUUGGACGGCCGCAGGCCGCCCGAAGGGUGAGCGUAGCGAAUCAAGCCCUCCCUCACCACCA